UUUGGUUGAAAUUCACCAAUGUUUGGGUGUAUAGUACCACUGCUAUACCUAGUAGACCGGUUAAACAAAAUAAAAAAUUGUCAGUUAUAUAUUCUGGUGAAAUUAACCAAUUUUUAAGUGUAUAGUAUCACUGCUAUACCUAGUAGGCCGGU